CCAGCAGCCGCGGUAAUUCCAGCUCCAAUAGCGUAUAUUAAAGUUGUUGCAGUUAAAAAGCUCGUAGUCGGAUUUUGGCAUCACGCCGUACUGUCUGCCGAUUGGUAUGCACGGUUUGGCGGGUGCUUCCUUCCGGAGGCUCGUUCCCUCCUUAACUGAAGGGUUCGUUGGUUCCGGUUCUUUUACUUUGAGAAAAUUAGAGUGUUCAAAGCAGGCCUAUGCUCUGAAUAGGUUAGCAUGGAAUAAUAGAAUAGGACUUUGGUUCUAUUUUGUUGGUUUCUAGGACCGAAGUAAUGAUUAAUAGGGACAGUUGGGGGCAUUCAUAUUCCAUUGUCAGAGGUGAAAUUCUUGGAUUAACGGAAGAUGAACUUCUGCGAAAGCAUCUGCCAAGGAUGUUUUCA
rnacentral:rRNA from 1 species